GAUGAAGAACGCAGCGAAAUGCGAAAAGUAAUGUGAAUUGCAGAAUUCAGUGAACCAUCGAAUCUUUGAACGCACAUUGCGCCCGCUGGAACUCCGGCGGGCACGCCUGUCCGAGCGUCAUUUCAACCCUCAGGCCCCCCUUCGCGGGCGGGCCUGGUGUUGGGGCCCGGCCGCUACCCUGCGGCCGUCCCCUAAAUCCAGUGGCGGCCUCGCCGUGAUCCCUUGCGUAGUAAUGCACCUCGCACCGGAGAGCGCCGUGGCCACGCCGUAAAACCCCCAAUUUUCAAUGGUUGACCUCGGAUCAGGUGGGAAUACCCGCUGAACUUAAGCAUAUCAUAAGCGGAGGA
rnacentral:misc_RNA from 1 species